UGGCUCAGCAGUUAAGAGCACUGGNUGUUCUUCCAGAGGACCUGGGUUCAAUUCCCAG
rnacentral:tRNA from 1 species